rfam:Oryza rufipogon genomic scaffold, chr04
AAUAAGCGCAACCAUGGGUUUCAGUGUCCACAUUUGACCGUCCGUCUUAUUUUAAAAAAAAUAUGUUUAGUAUUUUUAUUAUUAUUAGAUCAUAAAAUAUAAAUAGUACUUUAUACAUGACUUAUUUUUUAAAACUUUUUUUUAAAAGUUUUUCAAAUAAGACGGAUGGUCAAACAUUGGAUACGGAAACUAUAGUUGCACUUAAA